GAUGAAGAACGUAGCGAAAUGCGAUAAGUAAUGUGAAUUGCAGAAUUCAGUGAAUCAUCGAAUCUUUGAACGCACAUUGCGCCCGUCAGUAUUCUGGCGGGCAUGCCUGUUCGAGCGUCAUUACGCCCCUCAAGUCCCCUGUGGACUUGGUGUUGAGGAUCGGCGAGGCUGGUUUUCCAGCACAGCCGUCCCUUAAAUUAAUUGGCGGUCUCGCCGUGGCCCUCCUCUGCGCAGUAGUAAAACACUCGCAACAGGAGCCCGGCGCGGUCCACUGCCGUAAAACCCCCCAACUUUUUAUAGUUGACCUCGAAUCAGGUAGGACUACCCGCUGAACUUAAGCAUAUCAAUAAGCGGAGGA
rnacentral:misc_RNA from 1 species